UACGUAGGGUGCGAGCGUUAAUCGGAAUUACUGGGCGUAAAGUGUGCGCAGGCGGCCGCGCAAGUCGAGUGUGAAAUCCCCGAGCUUAACUUGGGAAUUGCGCUCGAAGCUACGUGGCUGGAGUGUGGCAGAGGAAGGUGGAAUUCCACGUGUAGCGGUGAAAUGCGUAGAGAUGUGGAGGAACACCGAUGGCGAAGGCAGCCUUCUGGGCCAACACUGACGCUCAUGCACGAAAGCGUGGGGAGCAAACAGG
rnacentral:rRNA from 1 species